GCGAGCAAGAACGAGGAGGACGAAGGAAAAAUGUUCAUUGGAGGCCUUAGCUGGGACACUACAAAGAAAGAUCUGAAGGACUACUUCUCAAAAUUUGGUGAAGUUGUAGACUGCACUCUGAAGUUAGAUCCUAUCACAGGACGAUCAAGAGGUUUUGGCUUUGUACUGUUUAAAGAAUCUGAAAGUGUAGAUAAGGUGAUGGACCAGAAAGAACACAAACUGAAUGGAAAGGUGAUUGAUCCUAAAAGAGCUAAAGCCAUGAAAACGAAAGAACCUGUUAAAAAGAUUUUUGUUGGUGGCCUAUCUCCAGACACACCUGAGGAGAAAAUAAGGGAGUAUUUUGGAGGUUUUGGGGAGGUGGAAUCUAUAGAGCUCCCCAUGGACAACAAAACCAAUAAAAGGCGUGGAUUCUGCUUUAUUACUUUUAAGGAGGAAGAACCAGUAAAGAAAAUAAUGGAAAAGAAAUACCACAAUGUUGGGCUCAGUAAGUGUGAAAUAAAAGUAGCCAUGUCAAAGGAACAAUAUCAGCAGCAGCAGCAGUGGGGAAGUAGAGGUGGAUUUGUUGGACGAGCUCGCGGGAGAGGUGGUGGCCCCAGUCAAAACUGGAACCAGGGAUAUAGCAACUACUGGAAUCAGGGGUAUGGCAGCUAUGGCUACAAUAGUCAAGGGUAUGGUGGCUAUGGAGGAUAUGACUACACUGGUUACAACAACUACUAUGGAUACGGUGAUUAUAGCAAUCAGCAGAGUGGUUAUGGGAAAGUAUCCCGACGAGGUGGUCAUCAAAAUAGCUACAAACCAUACUAAAUUAUUCCAUUUGCAACUUAUCCCAAACAGCGGGAACUUCAUUGCAGGCCCUGUGUCGCGCUGACUUCACGAUUCUCACAGGCCCGCUCAAUGCGGACAGGGUACGAGAUGCUCACGCUCUCGAAUGCUGCCGUUUGGUGGAGAAGCAGUAUUUUCUCAUUUGAAGAUUCAUUUGAGGUGGCUCAUGCUACCUGCUAAUAGCAGUUCAAACUAAUUUUUUUGUAUCAAGUCCUUGAAUUGGAAGUAAGACGUUGGGUCCCUCUGAAGUUUAAUUGAGUUCUCCUUAAAACAAAAUUGCUUUCACGGUCUUAUUUCUUAAUUGCUAUGCUUAAGAAUCAAUUUGUUUUAUGCCCCAUCCUCAGUAUUGUAGAGCAAGUCUUGUGUUUAAAAGCCCAGUGUGACAGUGUCAUGAUGUAGUAGUGUCUUACUGGUUUUUUAAUAAAUCUUUUUGUAUAAAUGUGUACUGGCUCUUUGUCACAAGAACAGAAAUACUAGUACGAGUUAAGACUUAAGCAUGGAUUCAGUCUUGCAGUAGAUAACUUGAGCUUUGUCAAUUAUCAUAAAGGCCACUGUGAUUUAAGCCGCCUUGGACUAUAAACAGAAGUCUUUCAUGGAAACCUCAUUCAGUUACUGCUGAUACUUCUUGAAUUGAAGUUUCAAUUUUUAAUUCCAGAAAAUCUUGUAUUAAAAUUUAACAUUAGUAAACUUCUAUUUCAUCAAAUUAUACCAAAUGGCAAGUAUAGGUGGGUAACUAUCACAAGGCCAAAAGUAAUUAUGUUAAAAAUUAUCUUUGGAGCUGUAGGCAAAAAUAAAAUUAGAUGAAUUUCAGAAGGGAGGAAGUUGUACAUCAAAAUGCACAAUCACCAGCUGCCUGUAGGGAUAGAGGUAGCGUCCUCAGAUUGCGAGUGGUUCAGCAGCAAUACCAGUCUGUAUACAGUCUGGGGAGAAAAUCCUUCUUAUCCAGAGUUUGUACAGUUAAAGUAAAAUCUUUUUUGAAGUGGACCUUGACUGUAAUAUUCUCAGUACCUGCUGUAUUAAUACAAACUUCCUAAACUUGUAAGUAGUACUUAGAGGCACUGAAUUCAUCAGAGUUUAUAGUGACAUAGAAUUGUCAUCUUUUGUCCCUAAACUAUUAUUCUUGAACAAACCAAGCAGGUGGUCCAGCAUUUUGUUGAAUGAAAUGCUGCAAUAGUUUCUGCAUCCUGGUUACAGAUGCACCGAAUAACUUUAACUCAGUAAGAAGUUCCCAUUUAUAUACUUUUAUAGCCAUUGUAACUCCUCCAGGUUGCACAGUUGUAUGUUAAGAUAAUGGCAUUUUUCAUCGUGAUUACAAACAAUAUGGUCAGGUUCAUAGGAAAGUAGG